GCGAUGGGCAUCUAUAAUGCAGUCGACGCUUCUUUUUCCACCGGAGCUUGCUCCACCGGAAAAAGAGGAGUGGCGAACGGGUGAUUAACACGUGGGUAACCUGCCCAUCAAAAGGGGAUAACACUUGGAAACAGGUGCUAAUACCGUAUAACAAUCAAAACCGCAUGGUUUUGAUUUGAAAGGCGCUUUCGGGUGUCGCUGAUGGAUGGACCCGCGGUGCAUUACCUAGUUGGUGAGGUAACGGCUCACCAAGGCCACGAUGCAUACCCAACCUGAGAGGGUGAUCGGCCACAUUGGGACUGAAACACGGCCCAAACUCCUACGGGAGGCAGCAGUAGGGAAUCUUCGGCAAUGGACAAAAGUCUGACCGACCAACGCCGCGUGAGUGAAAAAGGUUUUCGGAUCGUAAAACUCUGUUGUUAAAAAAAAACAAGGAUGAGAGUAACUGUUCAUCCCUUGACGGUAUCUAACCAAAAAGCCACGGCUAACUACGUGCCAGCACCCGCGGUAAUACGUAGGUGGCAAGCGUUGUCCGGAUUUAUUGGGCGUAAAGCGAGCGCAGGCGGUUUCUUAAGUCUGAUGUGAAAGCCCCCGGCUCAACCGGGGAGGGUCAUUGGAAACUGGGAGACUUGAGUGCAGAAGAGGAGAGUGGAAUUCCAUGUGUAGCGGGUGAAAUGCGUAGAUAUAUGGAGGAACACCAGUGGCGAAGGCGGCUCUCUGGUCUGUAACUGACGCUGAGGCUCGAAAGCGUGGGGAGCAAAACAGGGAUUAGAUACCCUGAUAGUCCCACGCCGUAAACGAUGAGUGCUAAGUGUUGGAGGGAUUUCCGCCCUUUCAGUUGCUGCAGCUAACGCAUUACGCACUCCGCCUGAGGAGUACGUUCGCAUGGUAGAUAACCUUCUCGAAAGGCGACGA
rnacentral:rRNA from 1 species